UACGUAGGGUCCGAGCGUUGUCCGGAAUUAUUGGGCGUAAAGGGCUCGUAGGCGGUCUGUUGCGUCGGGAGUGAAAACUUACAGCUUAACUGUGAGCGUGCUUCCGAUACGGGCAGACUUGAGGUAUUCAGGGGAGAACGGAAUUCCUGGUGUAGCGGUGAAAUGACGCAGAUAUCAGGAGGAACACCAGCGGCGAAGGCGGCGCUCUGGGCCGGAACUGACGCUGAGGAGCGAAAGCGUGGGUAGCAAACAGG
rnacentral:rRNA from 1 species